UAUCCUAACCGUGCAAAGGUAGCGCAAUCAAUUGUCCCAUAAAUCGAGACUAGUAUGAAUGGCUAAACGAGGUCUUAACUGUCUCUUACAGGCAAUCGGUGAAAUUGAUCUCCCUGUACAAAAGCAGGGAUAAACCCAUAAGACGAGAAGACCCUGUGGAACUUUAAAACCAGCAACCACCUUAAAUCACACACUCACCCACCGGGUUCACUGACACAUAAGAUGCUGGUCUGCGUUUUUCGGUUGGGGCGACCUUGGAGCAAAACAAAACCUCCAAAGAUUGGACCAUACCUCUAGACUGAGAGCAACCCCUCAACGUGCUAAUAGCACCCAGACCCAAUACAAUUGAUCAAUGGACCAAGCUACCCCAGGGAUAACAGCGCAAUCUCCUCCGAGAGUCCGUAUCGACGGGGAGGUUUACGACCUCGAUGUUGGAUCAGGACAUCCUAGUGGUGCAGCCGCUACUAA
rnacentral:rRNA from 1 species